rnacentral:rRNA from 1 species
UACGGAGGGUGCGAGCGUUGUCCGGAAUCACUGGGCGUAAAGGGCGCGUAGGCGGCUCAUGAAGGCUGUGGUGAAAGUCCGGGGCUCAACCUCGGAUCGGCCGUGGCGACUCGUGGGCUGGAGCACUGUAGAGGCGGGUGGAAUUCCGGGUGUAGCGGUGGAAUGCGCAGAUAUCAGGAAGAACACCAACGGCGAAGGCAGCUCGCUAGGACGGUACUGACGCUGAGACGCGAAAGCGUGGGGAGCGAACAGG